GACAGAGGGUGCAAACGUUGUUCGGAAUUACUGGGCGUAAAGCGCGUGUAGGCUGCUUGGCAAGUCGGAUGUGAAAGCCCUGGGCUUAACCCAGGAAGUGCACUCGAAACUUCCAAGCUCGAGUCCUGGAGAGGGUGGCGGAAUUCUCGGUGUAGAGGUGAAAUUCGUAGAUAUCGGGAGGAACACCAGUGGCGAAGGCGGCGAUCUGGGUCGAUACUGACGCUGAGGUGCGAAAGCGUGGGGAGCAAACAGG
rnacentral:rRNA from 1 species